AAUGAACGUUGGCGGCGUGGAUUAGGCAUGCAAGUCGAGCGAGAACCCCGCAAGGGGGGACAGCGGCGAAAGGGACAGUAAUGUGUAGAUUAUCUGCCCUCAGGUCCGGGAUAGCUGCGGGAAACUGCAGGUAAUACCGGAUAACAUCUCCGGAUCAAAGGUGUGAUUCCGCCUGAGGAUGAGUCUGCAUCCUAUUAGCUAGUUGGUGGGGUAAUGGCCUACCAAGGCAUUGAUGGGUAGCAGGUGUGAGAGCACGACCUGCGUCAUUGGGACUGAGACACUGCCCAGACACCUACGGGUGGCUGCAGUCGAGAAUCUUCGGCAAUGGGCGCAAGCCUGACCGAGCGACGCCGCGGGUGAGAUGAAGGCCUUCGGGUUGUAAACCACUGUCAGAGGGGAUGAAAUGCAGGUGGGUUCUCCCAUCUGUUUGACAUAGCCUCAGAGGAAGGACGGGCUAAGUUCGUG
rnacentral:rRNA from 1 species